GUGGCUCAAUGGGACAGCGUCCGCUUGGCAUGCAGAAGGUGCCAGGUUCGAUCCCCGGCAUCUCCA
rnacentral:tRNA from 1 species